rnacentral:rRNA from 1 species
GACGAACGCUGGCGGCGUGCCUAAUACAUGCAAGUCGAACGCUGAAGAGAGGAGCUUGCUCUUCUUGGAUGAGUUGCGAACGGGUGAGUAACGCGUAGGUAACCUGCCUGGUAGCGGGGGAUAACUAUUGGAAACGAUAGCUAAUACCGCAUAAAAUGGAUUAUCGCAUGAUAAUCCAUUGAAAGGUGCAAAUGCAUCACUACCAAAUGGACCUGCGUUGUAUUAGCUAGUUGGUGGGGUAACGGCUCACCAAGGCGACGAUACAUAGCCGACCUGGGAGGGUGAUCGGGCAAACUGGGAAUGAGAAACGGCCCAGGCUCCUACGGGAGGCAGCAGUAGGGAAUCUUCGGCAAUGGAGGGAAGUCUGGCCGGGCAAAGCCGCGUGAGUGAAGAAGGUUUUCGGAUCGUAAAGCUCUGUUGUAAGAGAAGAAAGAGUGUGAGAGUGGAAAGUUCACGUUGUGACGGUAUCUAAUCAGAAAGGGACGGCUAACUACGUG